AACCAAAUUAUUUUAUUGUUAGAUUCUUUCUCUCAUUUAGGAGUGGGAUGGCUUGCAUAGAAUCAAAUGGAGGAUUGAUAUCAAGGUGGCCAUCUAGGAGGCUCAUAUUAUUGCAUAUAGGGUGGACACAGUAUUUAGGUUAGAGUCAUGUCCAAAGCCUCGACUACGAUCAAGAUUCUAAUAUUUAUUAGCGACAUAGAUAUUCCAUGAGAGACUAGAUAUUGGUAUGCAUUUUGUGCUCCAAAUCAA
rnacentral:lncRNA from 1 species